rnacentral:lncRNA from 1 species
AAGGGGUGGGGGGGCAUAGGAGGAUGUAGAGAGUGAGGACGAAUGGACGGAGGGAUGGACGCACGGAUGGACGGAUGGACGCAAAAAAAGGAAAAAGGAAAAACAAAAUGGAGAAAGAAAAAAAACGGUAAGAAAACCACAACUCAAGAUGCACAACCACACAGAGAAAACGCAUGCAGGAGCGACACAAAAAAAUCUGGAAGGUGGCGGGGAGGAUGUUGAACUGUAAGCCCGAAAGCCAGAACUCUCACUCCCCCGGUAUCUCCUAGGUCUCUGGAAUGUUAUGUCCGGGAGCAAGCAUGGGUCCAGGAGGCAGGGAGGCCCAUGUCUCUCUGUCCACUUAGCUUUCUGGGCUGACAGUCUAGAAGACGCAUGCAGGAAUCAAGGUCUCAGACAGGUUUUCUCCCAGCAUCCCGAGAAGCAGCAGACAAACGCCACGGACCUCCCCACCUCCCCACCCUGCC